rnacentral:lncRNA from 1 species
AUGACGGGUGCGGAGCGGGUGCGCGAUGGCAGCUGCCACUUCCAGCGCUCGCGGCUCAUCUGGAUGAUCGGCAUCAUCCUCGGCAUGAUCCUGCUAGGCCUAUUUGGGACUGUUCGGUGACUUCCUUCGUUAUUUAGUGGACAACUACCACAAGUGGGUGUGCUAUGGGUUCUAUGUAUCCUGGUUGAUUCACAUAGUAGAAGCCUUGUACGGUAUAAAAUUAUGCCAGUCUAAAGGCAUCACUGACCCAGCAGUUCAGUUCCACUGGUUCAUUCAGACACUUCUGUUUGGGUAUGCUUCCUUUGGUCUCCUGGUGUCUUACAAACCUCCAGCCAAGAAAUACUACUAGAAGCCUGGGACAGAAGUCUCUCCUCACAUCCUUCAUCCUUAUUUUUCAGAAAACAACCUCACAUGUUUAGAAGCUGUAAUUAGCUAACUUACAUUCCUACUACAUGAUGCAGUGCCCUUCUACCAAAGUUUCUCUCUCUUACUAAAGAAGAAACUCAACUAUAAUUCACAGGGCCCUGUGGAUGGUUUGGUAGAAACUCAGCCUGUCAGUCCUGGCACUGCCUAAGUUGAAUUCUAUUACGCAAGAGCCAAGGUUGCAGCCUUGCACUAUUUGAUAUGUCUUGUAUACUCUGUCACUGGUGAGAAGAGGCCCUGACAGUAGUUAGUAGUGGUUCAUAGGUGACCUUUUCAUGGGGAGAAUUUUUAUUCUAUGGCAGAAAUUGUUAUUUACAGCCACAAAGCAACUUGCACCUGUUUUGUGGCAGGAUGCAAGUUCUUCCUACAAUUUUUCUACAGGACCUAUUACUAGCUUUCUCUGUAUUUGUUAGAGCCUGGUCUGUGUCAUUUGUUAUGUCAACCUACUCUCUUCAACAAGGGACAGACUACUUCACUGCUGCAGGCACAUGAAAAAGACCAAGUCUUUUAAAAGACCAAGUUCAGGUUGAGGUGCAGCGAUGAGCUGAGAUACAUAAAGCACUUUAACUUGGUUUAAUGUGUGCCUUCAAUUUCAUGCAGCAUGACCUCAUCUUUCAAAUGUAGACUUUAUUCUCUGAGUUAUUGUAAUAUAUAACUCUCUAUAGAGCACAGAAUCCUGUAGCUUUUGUGAGAACUAACUUAGCAUCCAAGAAAAAAAUACCCACUGCAUUCCAAAAAGAAAAUCUUGUAGGUUGCCACAUGAAAAUUAAGCAUAACAAGUCAGCACUCACCCAUCUGCCAGACGGGUGGCAGCUUCUGAAAUCUUUUCAUUUGUAGGCCAUUGUAAGCAUCCCUCUGAAUAUAUUCUGUAUGUCUAAUUGAGCCCUUUUAUCUUACUGUCUGUUUUACCCCUCUCAGUGUUUAACCAGAGUUAGCUGUUCUCGUUUUUAGCACUUUCAGAACUAAUUGCUAUUUAAAAUAAUAACUGUGAUUUGGGGAGAGGUUUUUACCACACUACCCAUGGUGCUACUGUUCUGAUAAAAAGAAGAGAAGAUGAGCUUUGCUCAAAAGAAAAGCUCCUUGAGGCAGUAAUGAGCAAGCAUAUACCUUGUGUAGUAGGUAUGGACUACGCUAUGCUAUAAGACAUGUGAUACGUAAGUCUUAUUGAGUACAGGUACUUGAGCUUUUUGCUUUUUAGUUCAUACUAAAAGCAUAGGGAAAUGAAGAGCUUUCAAUGGUGGAGUGGCUUUUUUCCUUUUUUCUUUUUCCCCCCCUUUUUGACCAAUGCCCAACAGAUACCACUAACAGUUUUUAGACAAGUACAAAGUAUGUUUAGUGGUUAGAAAACCACAGGAGCAUCAAGAACCUGGGCUAGAUUUCCCUGUGUAACUUUUUAUCUUAUUCUGUGAUCCUUUAAUAAAGAUUUAA